GAUGAACGCUAGCGGGAGGCCUAACACAUGCAAGCCGAGCGGUAUUGUUUCUUCGGAAAUGAGAGAGCGGCGUACGGGUGCGUAACACGUGUGCAACCUGCCUUUAUCUGGGGGAUAGCCUUUCGAAAGGAAGAUUAAUACUCCAUAAUAUAUUGAACGGCAUCGUUUAAUAUUGAAAGCUCCGGCGGAUAGAGAUGGGCACGCGCAAGAUUAGUUAGUUGGUGAGGUAACGGCUCACCAAGGCGAUGAUCUUUAGGGGGCCUGAGAGGGUGAUCCCCCACACUGGUACUGAGACACGGACCAGACUCCUACGGGAGGCAGCAGUGAGGAAUAUUGGACAAUGGGUGCAAGCCUGAUCCAGCCAUCCCGCGUGAAGGACGACUGCCCUAUGGGUUGUAAACUUCUUUUGUAUAGGGAUAAACCUACCCUCGUGAUGGUAGCUGAAGGUACUAUACGAAUAAGCACCGGCUAACUCCGUGCCAGCAGCAGCCGCGGUAA
rnacentral:rRNA from 1 species